UACGGUGGGUGCGAGCGUUGUCCGGAAUCAUUGGGCGUAAAGGGCGCGUAGGUGUCCCCUCAAGCGUGCGGUGAAAGUCAGGGGCUCAACCCCUGAUCGGCCGUGCGAACUGGGGAGCUUGAGCACUGUAGAGGCAGGCGGAAUUCCGGGUGUAGCGGUGGAAUGCGUAGAGAUCCGGAAGAACACCAGUGGCGAAGGCGGCCCGCUGGGCAGUGGCUGACGCUGAGGCGCGACAGCGUGGGGAGCAAACAGG
rnacentral:rRNA from 1 species